CAAAAUUUUAUAUGUAGAAAGAGUAUACUAUUUGUUACUUCUCUUACAGUAUAGCAAAAGGGGCAUUACAAAAUAUUGGCUAGAAGACAGCAUUGAGUCUUAUAGAGUUAAAACCCACUGAUUUACUUAACAACUUAUUAAUUGCUUUCCAUGUCCAAAGCAUUGUCCUAUUGGAAAUAUAGAAGCAAAAUGGAUGUUGUCUAUGGCCCUGACGAGUUCACAAUUUAAUAGGAGAGAUAUCCUGGAGCUUCGCCUUACAGAGCUAGGUUUUCUCCUGGGAAGCACUGUUAAUAUUUCAACCUCUGUAUAUGCCAAAUGGAAACAAAGAUUAUUUGAAAAGAAGCUGAGAUUCACUUGUCCCCAAGUAGCUUGA
ensembl:lincRNA